UAGAGAGGUGACACUGGGGUGUUUGGAAGACAACACAAGAGGUGACACUGGGGUGUUUGGAACACAACAUUAGAGAGGUGAUACUGGGAUAUUUGGAACACAACACUAGAGCUGACACUUGUGUCUUUGGAACACAACACUAGAAAGGCGACACAGGUGUCCUUGGAACACUACACUAGAGAGGUGAUACUGGGAUAUUUGGAACAC